rnacentral:rRNA from 1 species
GACGAACGCUGGCGGCGUGCUUAACACAUGCAAGUCGAACGGAAAGGCCCUGCUUUUGUGGGGUGCUCGAGUGGCGAACGGGUGAGUAACACGUGAGUAACCUGCCCUUGACUUUGGGAUAACUUCAGGAAACUGGGGCUAAUACCGGAUAGGAGCUCCUGCUGCAUGGUGGGGGUUGGAAAGUGUCGGCGGUUGGGGCUGGACGCGCGGCUUAUCAGCUUGUUGGUGGGGUAGUGGCUUACCAAGGCUUUGACGGGUAGCCGGCCUGAGAGGGUGACCGGCCACAUUGGGACUGCGAUACGGAGCAGACUCCUACGGGCGGCAGAAGUGGGGAAUAUUGCACAAUGGGGGGAAGCCUGAUGCAGCAACGCCGCGUGCGGGAUGACGGCCUUCGGGUUGUAAACCGCUUUCGCCUGUGACGAAGCGUGAGUGACGGUAAUGGGUAAAGAAGCAACGGCUAACUACGUG